GCCUGGGUGGCUCAGUCGGUUGAGCAUCCGACUUCAGCUCAGGUCAUGAUCUCACAGUUUGUGGGUUCGAGCCCUGCAUCAGGCU
rnacentral:tRNA from 1 species